rnacentral:rRNA from 1 species
GGUGAGUAACACGUGAGCAACCUGCCCUCCACUUCGGGAUAAGCCCUGGAAACGGGGUCUAAUACCGGAUAUGAGCUUCCACCGCAUGGUGGGGGUUGGAAAGUUUUUCGGUGGGGGAUGGGCUCGCGGCCUAUCAGCUUGUUGGUGGGGUGAUGGCCUACCAAGGCGUCGACGGGUAGCCGGCCUGAGAGGGCGACCGGCCACACUGGGACUGAGACACGGCCCAGACUCCUACGGGAGGCAGCAGUGGGGAAUAUUGCACAAUGGGCGCAAGCCUGAUGCAGCGACGCCGCGUGAGGGAUGACGGCCUUCGGGUUGUAAACCUCUUUCAGCAGGGAAGAAGCGCAAGUGACGGUACCUGCAGAAGAAGCGCCGGCUAACUACGUGCCAGCAGCCGCGGUAAUACGUAGGGCGCAAGCGUUGUCCGGAAUUAUUGGGCGUAAAGAGCUCGUAGGCGGUCUGUCGCGUCUGGUGUGAAAACCCGAGGCUCAACCUCGGGCUGGCAUCGGGUACGGGCGGACUAGAGUGCUGUAGGGGAGACUGGAAUUCCUGGUGUAGCGGUGGAAUGCGCAGAUAUCAGGAGGAACACCGAUGGCGAAGGCAGGUCUCUGGGCAGUUACUGACGCUGAGGAGCGAAAGCA